GACGAACGCUGGCGGCGUGCUUAACACAUGCAAGUCGAACGGUAAGGCCCUUCGGGGUACACGAGUGGCGAACGGGUGAGUAACACGUGGGUGAUCUGCCCUGCACUUCGGGAUAAGCCUGGGAAACUGGGUCUAAUACCGGAUAGGACUCCGGACUGCAUGGUCUGGGGUGGAAAGCUUUUGCGGUGUGGGAUGGGCCCGCGGCCUAUCAGCUUGUUGGUGGGGUGAUGGCCUACCAAGGCGACGACGGGUAGCCGGCCUGAGAGGGUGACCGGCCACGCUGGGACUGAGAUACGGCCCAGACUCCUACGGGAGGCAGCAGUGGGGAAUAUUGCACAAUGGGGGCAAGCCUGAUGCAGCGACGCCGCGUGAGGGACGACGGCCUUCGGGUUGUAAACCUCUUUCAGCACCGACGAAGCGCAAGUGACGGUAGGUGCAGAAGAAGGACCGGCCAACUACGUGCCAGCCGCCGCAGUAA
rnacentral:rRNA from 1 species